rnacentral:rRNA from 1 species
GACGAACGCUGGCGGCGUGCCUAAUACAUGCAAGUCGAGCGGACAGAAGGGAGCUUGCUCCCGGAUGUUAGCGGCGGACGGGUGAGUAACACGUGGGUAACCUGCCUGUAAGACUGGGAUAACUCCGGGAAACCGGAGCUAAUACCGGAUAGUUCCUUGAACCGCAUGGUUCAAGGAUGAAAGACGGUUUCGGCCGUCACUUACAGAUGGACCCGCGGCGCAUUAGCUAGUUGGUGAGGUAACGGCUCACCAAGGCGACGAUGCGUAGCCGACCUGAGAGGGUGAUCGGCCACACUGGGACUGAGACACGGCCCAGACUCCUACGGGAGGCAGCAGUAGGGAAUCUUCCGCAAUGGACGAAAGUCUGACGGAGCAACGCCGCGUGAGUGAUGAAGGUUUUCGGAUCGUAAAGCUCUGUUGUUAGGGAAGAACAAGUGCAAGAGUAACUGCUUGCACCUUGACGGUACCUAACCAGAAAGCCACGGCUAACUACGUGCCAGCCGCCGCAGUAUAC